rnacentral:rRNA from 2 species
UACCAGCACCUCGAGUGGUCAGGACGUUUAUUGGGCCUAAAGCAUCCGUAGCCGGCUCUGCAAGUCUUCGGUUAAAUCCACCUGCUCAACAGAUGGGCCGCUGGAGAUACUACAGAGCUAGGGAGUGGGAGAGGCAGACGGUAUUCAGUGGGUAGGGGUAAAAUCCUCUGAUCCAUUGAGGACCACCAGUGGCGAAGGCGGUCUGCCAGAACACGUUCGACGGUGAGGGAUGAAAGCUGGGGGAGCAAACCGG